UUAUAUAAUGCUUUUGAAUGUUUUCAUUUUAGUGUGUAAUGCAUUAGUGUGUAAUGUAUCUGUUUGUGUAAGUCUCCUGUAAAGUGAUUUAUUCUAUCUAACAGAGAACACUGAUCCAGAAAUGAUUAAAAUGCCUUGACUGAAGUCCAGAUAUUAAUUUCACAAAUGUGUGCGUCACAAUGUGAAAUAUUAGCGUAAUGCUGUUCAAAGGUUUACACAAAGAGAAGACGAGGCUUCAGUGAGUUGUAGUGUUGUCGUCAUGUUGUGGAGACACUGUGUGUUUGGAUGUGAAAGCAAACCUGCUUUGUUUGGAAUCAGUGUUUAAGAUUUAUUAAUAACUCUGUUCCUGAGCCGUACGACCCAAAGGUUAGCUUGUGUACAGCACGCUUUAUGAAGCUGCAGUGCAUUUUCUCCCAGCUUCCUGUGUACAACAUCAGCUACACACACCUAAAUACACUGUACAUAAAAUACAAUAAACCACACCUACUUAAAUUGAAGUAUGCUAACAGAACUGUGUAGCACUCACAUUUCUGCUCUCCAUUUUAGUCAAAAAAGAAAAUGAAAAAUAAAAUCUCUUUAAUUAGAUCAGUCAAAUAUUUUAAAAAAUAUAUUUCUCACAUUUUAAGUACAUUAAAGAAAUUGUUAAACAAAUGGGAGUCUGUACACAAGAAUGACUGCUAUCUUUAAAACUCUGCAUUGUUUCUGUGAAGGACUAGAGAGAAUGUGUGUCAAUAUAAAACACAGAUGAAGCUCCUGUAGAAAAGUUUCUCUUCUCUCUUUGUGUCAUUAGUGUAAGAUCAGGAUCACAUGUGUCUGGCUCACAUAUGUCUGUGAAGAGUGACCGGUCAAAGGAUGAUCCACUAAACUUCAGUGAAGAAACAGCAUCACGAACCAAACAGCUUCAGUAUGAAACAUUAGAUCCAGAUUUACAGUCUCACAGGAACCACAAGAAUUUUACAGACAGUCUCCUGCAGAUCUUCCAGGUAAUAAAACACAUUUUCAAGAAUAUUUAAUUUAAUAAUUAUAAUAAACAAAUAUGUUAUUGAAUAAGAGUGUGACA
ensembl:lncRNA